GGAAAGGCUCGCCCUGGGGAGCAGUGGCAGUUCUGAUGAUUUAUUGCUGGAGAAAGGCCACACCUCACGGGGUCCCUGUCACGAGCCGCAGGCAAAGGCCGCUGGGCAGAGGAAGAAUGGAAGGAAGAAGAUGGAGGAAAACAGCAGCCUGCUAUUCGCUCUGCAGAGACCUGCCCAGUGACUGAGAAGAACGUGGAUAUUCUGGAGAAGGAGAACAAAGGGAGAAGGGCCCGGCCAGCCAAACUGGUCCCUCGCAAUCAGGAACGAACAGC